rnacentral:tRNA from 1 species
GCUCCGGUGGCCAAAUGGAUAAGGCGUUGGAUUCCAAAUCCAAAGACUGUGGGUUCGAGUCCCACCAGGAGCG